CUGGGCGCCGCGAACACUGGGGUUUUGCCCCCUUGGCCUCAGUUUCUCUUCCUACAGAAGUGGGGUCCGGACGACUCCCCUAUUUUGCGCCAGGUGAAGCCAACCUGCUCCCACCAGAGCCCAGCAAUGGCCAGUAAGAGAACAGUGAUGGGUUUAAGGAAGAGGACACAGGAAGCAGAAGAGAAGAGGGAAAAUUCAGUUUCAUCUGCCAAGAUUGACCUGUACAUUCCAGAAUUGCUCCUUGGCUCCUGGAGUGUCGUGUGCAGGAAGAGAACAGAGACAGCAAAGCCAUGGAGUCAGCCCAGCUGAGGGAAGAUAGGUCUCCAGCAACUGGGUCAUCUGGCCCUGGGAAGCGCGACCCGGGGAAUAGAGGUCUCCAGCGACCCGGGCAUCUGGCCCUGGGAAGCGUGACCCAGGGAAGACAGGUCUCCAGUGACUGGGACAUUUGGGAAGAGAGGUGUCCAGCGACCGGGGCAUCUGGCCCUGGGAAGCACGACCCGGACUCUGCUUCUCAACAUAGCACAGCCUUCCUCACUUGGACAUACAGGGUGCACCUGUCAGGAGGAGGUGCCAACCAGGUCUCCUGAGUGACCUGGCCUGGUGAUCUCGUGUGGAGUCAAAGUCCUAUCCCCCACCCCACCCCACUUUCCAAGUAAGGAAAUCCAAGGUCAUAGAUCCUGUACUUCAUGCCUGCUAGUUUCUGAGCCACAAGCUUCUGGCUGUGUUGGGGCUGGGGUGCAUGCUUCACUAGCAGGAGC